rnacentral:rRNA from 1 species
AGUGGCGGACGGGUGAGUAACACGUGGGUAACCUGCCCUUAAGUGGGGGAUAACAUUUGGAAACAGAUGCUAAUACCGCAUAGAUCCAAGAACCGCAUGGUUCUUGGCUGAAAGAUGGCGUAAGCUAUCGCUUUUGGAUGGACCCGCGGCGUAUUAGCUAGUUGGUGAGGUGAUGGCUCACCAAGGCGAUGAUACGUAGCCGAACUGAGAGGUUGAUCGGCCACAUUGGGACUGAGACACGGCCCAAACUCCUACGGGAGGCAGCAGUAGGGAAUCUUCCACAAUGGACGCAAGUCUGAUGGAGCAACGCCGCGUGAGUGAAGAAGGCUUUCGGGUCGUAAAACUCUGUUGUUGGAGAAGAAUGGUCGGCAGAGUAACUGUUGUCGGCGUGACGGUAUCCAACCAGAAAGCCACGGCUAACUACGUGCCAGCAGCCGCGGUAAUACGUAGGUGGCAAGCGUUAUCCGGAUUUAUUGGGCGUAAAGCGAGCGCAGGCGGUUUUUUAAGUCUGAUGUGAAAGCCCUCGGCUUAACCGAGGAAGCGCAUCGGAAACUGGGAAACUUGAGUGCAGAAGAGGACAGUGGAACUCCAUGUGUAGCGGUGAAAUGCGUAGAUAUAUGGGAGAACACC